UACUAUCAAGGCUGAAAUCUCAUAUCUCAAGGUGAAGAUACAUCAACUAUUUUCUGAGGGACCUGAUACCUCAGAUGAUCUGAAGGCUGAAAAUGAAGGGUUGAAGGCCCAGGUUUCUAUACUUACUGUUGAGGUUAAGGGUCUUACUAAUGAAGUCAAGAACUUCACAAAGUAGCACCAUAAUGUCCAUGUUACUGAAAGUACUAGAAUGGACAUGCCCCUCAAUUUGCUUGCCCCCAAACCUCCAUUUUCGUAAGCCCCGUUAUUGUUCUUACCUAAUUCUUUUCCUUCUUCCUAUCCAUUGUAUCUCUUUGGAUCAUAACAGUCUCUUAAGUAUUUUUAAUUUAUGUGAUGUGUAUGGUACUGUCUUCCCAUUUUAAUGAAGUG
rnacentral:lncRNA from 1 species